rnacentral:misc_RNA from 1 species
UUGUCACGUCGGCUGCGCUUGCGGCCGGCGUUUUGCUUGCUGGAUGCAACGGCGAACAGCUCUCGCCGAGUUCAAAGGCCAAUCGCCCGAUCCCCGACAAGCUGCUUGCCGACAUCGAAACGAAGAACAUNNNNNNNNUCCGAUACUUGUCCGCCUGUUCAAGCAGGAAGCCGAACUCGAAGUGUGGAAGCAGGACCGCAACGGCAAGUUCGCGCUGCUGAAGACCUAUCCGAUCUGCCGCUGGUCGGGAGACCUUGGACCGAAGGUCAAGGAAGGCG